CUNGGUCAUUUAGAGGAAGUAAAAGUCGUAACCAAGGUUUNCCGUAGGUGAACCUGCGGAAGGAUCAUUAGAAUUUGAAGCCGUCGCCGAUCGAAAGUGAAACCUCGGUGCCGUCCUCCUCGGAGGCGCAUUUCUAAACCAUGUGAAAACACCCGUUGCUUCGGCGGCUGCCGGCAGCCUCACCGCUGCCCGGCGUCAGCCCGUCGGUAGCUCCAACAAAACCAUUUCUGUAAACUUUUGUCAGAAUACGAAAAUUAAAUCGUUAAAACUUUCAACAACGGAUCUCUUGGUUCUCGCAUCGAUGAAGAACGCAGCGAAACGCGAUAGGUAAUGUGAAUUGCAGAAUUCAGUGAAUCAUCGAAUCUUUGAACGCACCUUGCGCUCCCUGGUAUUCCGGGGAGCAUGCCUGUUUGAGUGUCAUGAACUCUUCAACCCACCAGUUUCUAGUAGACUGCGUUGGUGUUUGGAUUUUGAGCGUUGCUAGUCUGACUAGCUCGUUCGUAAUAUAUUAGCAUCUCUAAUUCGAAUUCGGAUUGACUCAGUGUAAUAGACUAUUCGCUGAGGACACUUUUAUUAGUGGCCGUACUAGAACCAGUAGAAGCUUCCAACUAUUGUAGUCAACUUUAAUUUAGACCUCAGAUCAGGCAGGANUACCCGCUGAACUUAAGCAUAUCAAUAAGGAGGAGG
rnacentral:rRNA from 1 species